rnacentral:rRNA from 1 species
AUUGAACGCUGGCGGCAGGCUUAACACAUGCAAGUCGAGCGAGCGGCGGACGGGUGAGUAAUGUCUGGGAAACUGCCUGAUGGAGGGGGAUAACUACUGAAAACGGUGGCUAAUCCCGCAUACCAUCGGAUGUCCCCAGAUGGGAUUAGCUGGUGGGUGGGGUAAUGGCUCCCCUAGGCGACGAUCCCUAGCUGGUCUGAGAGGAUGACCAGCCACACUGGAACUGAGACACGGUCCAGACUCCUACGGGAGGCAGCAGUGGGGAAUAUUGCACAAUGGGCGCAAGCCUGAUGCAGCCAUGCCGCGUGUGUGAAGAAGGCCUUCGGAUUGUAAAGCACUUUCAGCGAGGAGGCGUUACUCGCAGAAGAAGCACCGGCUAACUCCGUGCCAGCAGCCGCGGUAAUAC